rnacentral:rRNA from 1 species
GGAAUCUUGCACAAUGGGCGAAAGCCUGAUGCAGCGACGCCGCGUGGGGGAUGAAGGCCUUAGGGUCGUAAACCCCUUUCAGCAGGGACGAAAAUGACGGUACCUGCAGAAGAAGCCCCGGCCAACUACGUGCCAGCAGCCGCGGUAAGACGUAGGGGGCGAGCGUUGUCCGGAUUUAUUGGGCGUAAAGAGCUCGUAGGCGGUUGCGUAAGUCGGAUGUGAAAACUCAGGGCUCAACCCUGAGACGCCAUCCGAUACUGCGCUGACUUGAAUCCAGUAGGGGAGUGUGGAAUUCCUGGUGUAGCGGUGAAAUGCGCAGAUAUCAGGAGGAACACCCAUGGCGAAGGCAGCACUCUGGGCUGGUAUUGACGCUCAUGCACGAAAGCGUGGGGAGCAAACAGGAUUAGAUACCCACGUAGUCCCUGAGCGGGCUGGCAAGGCGCAU